UAAUAAUAAUUCUUAAAAAAGCAAAACUCAAGAUCCUGCAUACUCAGAUGUUAAAGCUUGGCUCUGGAAUGCUAACGCCCUGCGGGCAGCUGUGCCUGGGUGGCUGCACACUGAACUCUGGCAUUCUGCUUCUCUGAACAAGAACUUGGGUACAGACCUGCUUGGCCUCACGUCCCCCGGGUAUCCCCAGGGCAGAUUCUCUGCAGUGGGGUUGCUAAAUCAAGUAGGAAUAACAAGUCCAAGUGCUCUGACAUUGCCUCCCACUGUUUUCCUACCAACAGCCCCCGGCGACAGCCUGUCCUCCCUCACUGUGCACGUGUACACCGUAUACCUACUUUGUGCCCAGAACAGAGAGGGUGCAGAGCCAGCCUGCCACUCACACAGGUGCUAAGCCAGGGCUCACUUUGUAUCAGUGCUCACUGGAAAUCCUGCAAACAUGAUGGGGGGGGGGGGGGAGAGGGCUGGUUUCACUUUGCAUUUGCUUAAUUGCUAAUGAGAUGCAACCUUUAUUCAGGAUUAUCAUUCUUCUCACUGUUUUCCUUUACUUCCUUCCCAGUGUGGGAGAGUAUUGCAAUUCAUUCCUAUGAUAAAGCUACUCCCUUUUUUGUAGUUAAAGGCAAAAAACAAAGCCAAUGUUUAUGGAUGGCACUGUGACAGGAAGACUAAGUACUUCCAUCCAGCAUGGGAGAGGUGACUUAAUUACCAGUAAGCAGAGAAUGCCCAGAUUAGCCUACAGACAGGUGAAGCUGACAUUGCCAGGGGCCAGGAAGAACCACACAGGGCUAUGUGCCUGGGGACUACUUCUUCAAAUGCCUGCUCUGCUCCAGCCUCUAGCUCUUUCCAAGGAACACUAGCAAAAAGUAAGACUCAAAGCCACCUCAUCAUUCCUUGGCUCCUUCCCAGGCUGCUCUGAAGAUGAUCAGUAAAAACUCCUCUUUUUUCCAGGUAAAGGCUACACACGGUCCCAGGAAGCCAGGCCCUGUGGGGGCCAGUCACCCACUAUUGCUUUGUGCCCUCUACACAUCACAAUGACAGCAGCUACCUUGGCAUGCAAGCUGGCUCCACUCAAUGGCCCUGUAAGAGGCAACCUGGAGAUGCUUUUGCUGGGCCCUGUGAAUUAACUAAACGUUCCCUAGCUUUGAAUCUGUGGUCUUUGACCUGAGCUAAUUUCUGCUGCAGUCCUUUUGCAAUCAGCUGGGGUUCCAGGAAAAAGAAGGUUCAGAGGCAGGCAUCUUGUGAGGAAGGCAAAGGCAAACUACUCAAACAGGCUUAUCAGCUUCAAGGAAACAGCUAAAAUCUCAGGAGAUAACUUGUUCAAGUUCAGUUCCAGUAAAAACAAAACAAACAAAAAACAGUCCUUGAAACUCCUCCAAGGACAAAGACUGAGAUAAGUGUCAGCCAGGCCUCACCUGUGACCUAGGACUAUUUAAACUCUGGAAACUUUUCUCACCCUCUGUCCCCUUUCUCCUGAUGGACCCCAAAACCAAUGUCUGCCAAAGACAGCCAAAGUGUCUUCCCAUGGCUUCCCAUUACAUUAAUGAAUCUCCUUUCUCUGCCCUUCAUCAUGUCUAGUUGGCAUAUGGGAGCGAGUGGCUGGAGAUAGUACAGGACUCCUGGACUGGGGUCCUGGUGUCUAAUCAUCUGGCUUCAACAUCAGAGGAAGGAAGAAGAAAUACUAUCCAGGGUCACAGAAGCCACUGAGGAACCAAGUCUGAUGCACACCACACGGCUUUAGAACAUGGCACGGCCUCAAAGGCCCAGAGGGAAAAAGAGAAGCAGCUGUGAAAAAGGUAGGCAUCUAACCUGACUGGGCUAUAUUACCCAGGUGUUCAAUGGAACAUUAUUCUAGAUAGUUCAUUUUCAAUAUUUUUUAGAUAAACAUUUAAAUCUACAGAGAAACAGAACCCAUGGGUGGAGAGGAACAGACAUAAACAGAGUCUUAUAGUGAAGAAUUGGUUCAUGUGACUCUGGAGCCUGAGAAGUAUCAAGAUCUACAGUAUGCAAGCUGGAGACACAGAAAACCUGAUGGAAUAAUUCAGUCAGAGAACUAAAGGGUGUAAAUCCCAAGGUCCCAGUUCAACUUGGCAGGUGGAAGGGAGACAGCCCCUCCCUUGCUUGUGUUUUGAUCUAGUGAUGCCCUGCUAGGACUGGAUGGUGCCCACCACUGGGGGAGAACACCCCUCCCCGAGUCCACCAAGGCAAACACUCUUGUCUGUCCCAGAUUCCAGACAUAAUGCCUUCAUCCGGGCACCCCAUAACCCAAUCAAGUUGACCAUCAAGAAACCACCAUGCCAGCCAGCUGACAAAAUAACUACAUAGAAACCCAGGAAAUAUCUGCAAUAUAUAUUCUAGGGUAGAGCAUAUCCAAACUUAAAUCUCAGCUUGGUUAACUAUUACAACAAACCUCAACUCUACCUUAGGAGCCCUAUCAUUUUUGAGUAAAAGCAGAGUGAACCCCCUAGCCUCACAGGGUGGCCGUGCUCUUACAGUACGGAACAUGAAGCUUCGGUCAUCACAGAUAGCCAGUAUCUGUGUGAAGGAGAAUGAGCAAAGACAACAAAAGUAGGCCAUCCCAUGAAAAAGAGGAAAGGAAAUAUUAAAACACACACAUCAAAAGCUUCCAUGGCUAGAGAUAUACUAGCAACAUCACAUCUGCAAAUUCAUUUUACACUUAAACUGGCUGGAGAAGUCAUCCGUGAUGGCAUAGCACUGUGAACUCCAGCACCUAAGUGAAGAGGGGAUGGCUUAUAUAAUAAGACUAGAAAUACUUUAUGUCUAUUGAUGCUGAUUUUUUUAAUGUGGAGAAAAAGGAGGGAAGAAAAGAGUAAGACAGAAUGACUUCAAAGCAGUAAACAGCAGCAACUGAACCUUGUGUCACGUGAUUGCCAGCCCCU